rnacentral:lncRNA from 1 species
UACACAAAAUCUCAUUCUCCAUCUUUCUUCAACACAUAAACCAAGAAACCCUUUCAUCUUCAUAGGAGUUCAUCCAAUCUUCAUCGCAAUCUUCAUCAGCAUACGUAGAAACUUCAAAUGGUUUAUGGAUUCGCUGCUCGUGUCCGGAACGACAUAAAAUGUUUGGUGGUUUGUGAUUUUAAUGAAGUGGAUAAUUUUCUUAAGGAUAAAAAGCACUAAAGGUUCAUUUACUUUGUCUCCUGAACUUUUCGGUGAAAAUCAACUUGCAAGAGUAAGUUCACUUUUUUAUUUCUUUGUUUUUAGUUAUAUAGUUGAUUACUAUAUUAUGGGGUUGGGAACAAAAAACUAUAUUUCACACGAAGUUUUAACACUAUUUUUACUGAUAAUUAACAUUGAAUAUCUUGUUGUCAAAUUGUCUGUGCCUCGGUACUUCAACGAGUAUGAAGCUAUCAACGGUUAUGGUCCUGCCCACCCUUCUUCGUGGAUUGGCGGUCUCUUCUAUAAUGUAAUGCCAUAACGGGUCAAGCGAACCAUAAAGUUUGGUAACAAAGGAAUGUGUAAAAUGAAUCGAACUGGUCAAUCGGGUUGAAAGCCAAUCACCAAAGUCUAAUUUUUAUUGAAUUGUUAUUUUUCAUAGUUAUGUUUAAAACAUCGUUAGUUGAAAGUGUUUGGUAGUAGUUACUUAAUACCUGCAGAAACAAAAUGUUGGGUUUUUUUUUUUGUUUAAAACUGUAUGUUUAUUCUUUUAUAUAUAAAAAAUACUUAUGGCAUAAGAGCAGCCAUUGAGUUUAAAGAC